rnacentral:tRNA from 1 species
AUAACUUUAAGUUAAUUAAACUAAAGGUCUUCAAAGCCUUCAAUGGAAAUAUCCAAGUUAUG